rnacentral:rRNA from 1 species
AUUAAUAAGCGGAGGAAAAGAAACCAACCGGGAUUCCCUGAGUAAGGGCGACUGAAAUGGGAGGAGCCCAGCGCAUAACCUCGCGGUCCCUGGCCGGCCGACGAGGGGUGUUGCGUUUCGGUGGACCCGCCCCGCUCGGGCCGUUUACCGCCUAAGUCAUUGCUUGAAAGCAGCCCCGCGGAGGGUGAUAGGCCCGUGUGGCGGCGCCUGUAAAAAGGGUAAAGGCGGCUCGGGCGGAGGGGUCUUCACCGUAGAGUCGGGUUGCUUAGUACUGCAGCCCUAAGCAGGUGGUAAACUCCAUCUAAGGCUAAAUACUACCACGAGUCCGAUAGAGAACAAGUACCGUGAGGGAAAGUUGAAAAGGACUUUGAAGAGAGAGUUCAAAAGGACGUGAAACCGUUAGAAGCUUAAACGGGUGGAACCGCGAAGGUCGAACGAGGGGAUUCAGCUCGUCGGUCUGCGGAAGCGGGCGGCGGUACAUGAGAAUUCCAGUGAGAGGACCCGGCGCAAACGACGACAUGCCGUGGCCCCGUCCCCGCCUCCGGAGUUGCCGGCGGGCUUACUUCUCCCUCCAGUAGGUCGCCGCGACCCGUCGCGGGGACCCCCAAGGCCGUCCCGGAUUGGUAGCCCAGGCGCAGCUCUGGGUGAUGACCGGCGGCGGUUCUGACGGGCCCCUGCGACGGUCACUGCCAGGAGGCCGGUCUCGGCCGGCCUCUCGCGGCGUGCAAGGGAUCGGUAAUCCACCCGACCC